rnacentral:lncRNA from 13 species
GUACCAAGAAAUACCUACACAUGUACACGAAUCUUUAUAACCGUAGUUUCCUGGUUCUCGAAUACUUGAAUUUCAUUAUCAACCAGUUUCGUUCAGAGAAGAAAGACUUGCGCAAUCGAAGGAAUAUAAAUAUAAGAUGACGGACAAACGGAUAGAGUCUCCGUUUAUGUGCUAGCACAAUAACAACAUCCAGACAAGUUGUGUGAAUCAGACAGCAAUUUCGAGACAGUCGAAAAUAUAUAAGCGGGAUUCAGAAACACUAUAUAUAAUUAGAAGAAGAGGCAGCUGCAAAAAGGAGAAACGCACGAUAUUUAAACUUCGACUUUAUUUUAUUGUUUCUCGAGUUUUCCGAUAUAGUGCUUGAAAAUGAAAUGUCUCGAUUGAUGGACGGAGUAUAAAUAUCUGUAACGGACAAAUUGUAAAACCAGUUUACCUGCUGGAAUAUAGGAGACAAAUCUGCAUCAAAACUUAUAACGAUUUAAAAUAAUUAAUAGGAGCUAAAAAGUAAACGAGAAAGUUUGAUAAAAAUUUUAGAAAGGUGAAAUAUCUAAAUAAAAAUGAAAUUUCUUGUAAAUACAUUGUUGGUACUUGUAAUAUUGACGGCUGUAAUUCAACCUGAGAAUUGUCAAGUUUCAAAACUUCCGGUUCAAAAACCUGUUCCAUAUAACAUUAUAAAAGCUCCGGUUAGACUCCGUCCUGAUGAUUGCCCGAAUGGUCAACGAAGAGAUGGCCGCGGUAUCUGUCGUCAAAUCCUUUAACGGCUACAGAGAUAUAAGGUCAGGUCCAGUUCCAUUAAAGACGGCGAAGACGGGCAAAGAUGGAAAAAGCAGAAGAGAAGCAGCGUUUUAAAGGAGUAUCUGAGGAAGGACUGGAAUUAAAUAAAUAAAAUUCUUUUACAGUAUA